GCAGAUAGCUCAGUAACACGUGGCCAAACUGCCCUAUAGACGGCGAUAACCUCGGGAAACUGAGGCUAAUAGCCGAUACCGUUCACUACCUGGAGUGGUGUGAACGCGAAACGUUCAGGCGCUAUAGGAUGUGGCUGCGGCCGAUUAGGUAGACGGUGGGGUAACGGCCCACCGUGCCUAUAAUCGGUACGGGUUGUGAGAGCAAGAGCCCGGAGACGGUAUCUGAGACAAGAUACCGGGCCCUACGGGGCGCAGCAGGCGCGAAACCUUUACACUGCACGAGAGUGCGAUAAGGGGACUCCGAGUGCGAGGGCAUAUAGUCCUCGCUUUUCACCACCGUAAGGUGGUGGUGGAAUAAGUGCUGGGCAAGACCGGUGCCAGCCGCCGCGGUAAUACCGGCAGCACGAGUGAUGACCGCUAUUAUUGGGCCUAAAGCGUCCGUAGCUGGCCAGGCAAGUCUAUCGGGAAAUCUGCGCGCUUAACGCGCAGGCGUCCGGUGGAAACUGCGUGGCUUGGGACCGGAAGACCAGAGGGGUACGUCCGGGGUAGGAGUGAAAUCCCGUAAUCCUGGACGGACCACCGGUGGCGAAAGCGCCUCUGGAAGACGGAUCCGACGGUGAGGGACGAAAGCUCGGGUCACGAACCGGAUUAGAUACCCGGGUAGUCCGAGCUGUAAACGAUGUCUGCUAGGUGUGGCACAGGCU
rnacentral:rRNA from 1 species